rnacentral:rRNA from 1 species
AACGAACGCUGGCGGCGUGCCUAACACAUGCAAGUCGAACGAGACCUUCGGGUCUAGGGGCGCACGGGUGCGUAACGCGUGGGAACCUGCCCUUAGGUUCGGAAUCACUCCCUGAGAGGGGUGCUAAUACCGGAUAAUGUAUUCGGGCCAAAGAUUUAUGGCCUUUGGAUGGGCCCGCGUUGGAUUAGCUAGUUGGUAGGGUAAAAGCCUACCAAGGCGACGAUGCAUAGCUGGUCUGAGACGAGGAUUCGCCACACUGGGACUGAGACACGGCCCAGACUGCGACGGAAGGGAGCAGAGUGGUAUAUUGGACAAGGGGCGCAAGUGUGAUCCAGCCAUGCGGCGUGAGUGAUGAAGCGCUUAGGGUUGUAAAGCUCUCUUACACGAGACGAUAAUGACAGUAACGGGUGAAUAAGCACCGGCUAACUACGUG